rnacentral:rRNA from 1 species
GACCCGUCUUGAAACACGGACCAAGGAGUCUAGCAUGCGCGCGAGUCAUUGGGAACUCGUUAGCUAAACCUAAAGGCGCAAUGAAAGUGAAGGUCCGCCUUCGCGCUGACCUAGGGAGGAUGCGUCGGCCUCGUCGCCGGCGCCGCACUCCCGGGGCGUCUCGUUCUCAUCGCGAGAAGAGGCGCACCCAGAGCGUGCACGCUGGGACCCGAAAGAUGGUGAACUAUGCCUGGUCAGGACGAAGUCAGGGGAAACCCUGAUGGAGGUCCGUAGCGAUUCUGACGUGCAAAUCGAUCGUCGGAACUGGGUAUAGGGGCGAAAGACUAAUCGAACCAUCUAGUAGCUGGUUCCCUCCGAAGUUUCCCUCAGGAUAGCUGGCGCUCGCUUUUGCGAGUCUCAUCCGGUAAAGCGAAUGAUUAGAGGCAUUGGGGUCGAAACGGCCUCAACCUAUUCUCAAACUUUAAAUGGGUGAGAUCUCCGGCUUGCUUGAGAGCUGAAGCCGCGAGAUUUCGGACCAGAGUGCCAAGUGGGCCAUUUUUGGUAAGCAGAACUGGCGCUGCGGGAUGAACCGAACGCCGAGUUAAAGCGCCUAAAUCGACGCUUAUGGGAUACCAUGAAAGGCGUUGGUAACUUAAGACAGCAGGACGGUGGCCAUGGAAGUCGGAAUCCGCUAAGGAGUGUGUAA